GACGAACGCUGGCGGCGUGCCUAAUACAUGCAAGUCGAGCGGACCACUUCGGUGGUCAGCGGCGGACGGGUGAGUAACACGUGGGCAACCUGCCUGUAAGACUGGGAUAACACCGGGAAAGCGGUGCUAAUACCGGAUAAUCCUUUCCUUCACAUGAAGGGAAGCUGAAAGACGGUUUCGGCUGUCACUUACAGAUGGGCCCGCGGCGCAUUAGCUAGUUGGUGAGGUAACGGCUCACCAAGGCAACGAUGCGUAGCCGACCUGAGAGGGUGAUCGGCCACACUGGGACUGAGACACGGCCCAGACUCCUACGGGAGGCAGCAGUAGGGAAUCUUCCGCAAUGGACGAAAGUCUGACGGAGCAACGCCGCGUGAGCGAUGAAGGCCUUCGGGUCGUAAAGCUCUGUUGUCAGGGAAGAACAAGUACCGGAGUAACUGCCGGUACCUUGACGGUACCUGACCAGAAAGCCACGGCUAACUACGUGCCAGCCGCCGCCGUAAGAC
rnacentral:rRNA from 1 species